rnacentral:rRNA from 1 species
ACGGGUGAGUAACACGUGACCAACCUACCCUCAAGUGGGGGAUAACUCGCCGAAAGGCGAGCUAAUACCGCAUGAUACGUUACCCGGCAUUGGGUUUCGUUGAAAGAAGUAAUUCGCUCGAGGACGGGGUCGCGCCCCAUUAGCUAGUUGGUGGGGUAAUGGCCUACCAAGGCGAUGAUGGGUAGCUGGUCUGAGAGGACGAUCAGCCACACUGGGACUGAGACACGGCCCAG